AAACCGGGAGGAAGGUGGGAUGACGUCAAGUCCUCAUGGCCCUUAUGACCAGGGCUACACACGUGCUACAAUAGGCCGGUACAAAGAGUUGCGAUACCGCGAGGUGGAGCUAAUCUCAAUAAAGCCGGUCUCAGUUCGGAUUGGAGUCUGCAACUCGACUCCAUGAAGUUGGAAUCGCUAGUAAUCGCGGAUCAGCAUGCCGCGGUGAAUACGUUCCCGGGCCUU
rnacentral:rRNA from 1 species